UACGUAGGGCGCAAGCGUUGUCCGGAAUUAUUGGGCGUAAAGAGCUCGUAGGCGGUCUGUCGCGUCGGCUGUGAAAACCCGAGGCUCAACCUCGGGCCUGCAGUCGAUACGGGCAGACUAGAGUGCUGUAGGGGGAGACUGGAAUUCCUGGUGUAGCGGUGAAAUGCGCAGAUAUCAGGAGGAACACCGGUGGCGAAGGCGGGUCUCUGGGACGGUAUUGACGCU
rnacentral:rRNA from 1 species